rnacentral:rRNA from 1 species
GUGGGGAAUAUUCCGCAAUGGACGAAAGUCUGACGGAGCAACGCCGCGUGAGUGAUGAAGGUUUUCGGACUGUAAAGCUCUGUUGUUUGGGACGAAAGUGCCUGUUGCGAACAGUUACGGGUAUUGACGGUACUAAACGAGGAAGCCACGGCUAACUACGUGCCAGCAGCCGCGGUAAUACGUAGGUGGCAAGCGUUGUCCGGAAUUAUUGGGCGUAAAGAGCAUGUAGGCGGGAAUCUAAGUCUGUUGUUAAAAUGCGGGGCUCAACCCCGUAUUGCGAUGGAAACUGGGUUUCUUGAGUGCAGGAGAGGAAAGGGGAAUUCCCAGUGUAGCGGUGAAAUGCGUAGAUAUUGGGAGGAACACCAGUGGCGAAGGCGCCUUUCUGGAUUGUGUCUGACGCUGAGAUGCGAAAGCCAGGGUAGCGAACGGGAUUAGAUACCCCUGUAGUCC